rnacentral:rRNA from 1 species
CAGGGAAUCUUGCACAAUGGGCGAAAGCCUGAUGCAGCGACGCCGCGUGAGGGAUGAAGGCUUUAGGGUUGUAAACCUCUUUUCUCAGGGAAGAGCAAGGACGGUACCUGAGGAAUAAGCCACGGCUAACUACGUGCCAGCAGCCGCGGUAAUACGUAGGUGGCAAACGUUGUCCGGAAUUACUGGGCGUAAAGGGCCCGUAGGUGGUCUGCUAAGUCGUUUGUGAAAUCUCCCGGCUCAACCGGGAGAGGUCGGACGAUACUGACAGACUUGAGGGUAUCAGAGGAAGACGGAAUUCCCGGUGUAGUGGUGAAAUGCGUAGAUAUCGGGAGGAACACCAGUGGCGAAAGCGGUCUUCUGGGAUACAUCUGACACUGAGGGGCGAAAGCGUGGGGAGCAAACCGG